CUACGGGUUGCUGCAGUGAGGAAUUUUGCGCAAUGGGGGGAACCCUGACGCAGCAACGCCGCGUGAGUGAAGAAGGCCUUUGGGUCGUAAAGCUCUGUCAACUGGGAAGAAAUUAGAGUUGUUUAACAGAUGAUUCUAUUGACGGUACCAGUGGAGGAAGCGCCGGCUAACUCCGUGCCAGCAGCCGCGGUAACACGGGGGGCGCAAGCGUUAUUCGGAAUUAUUGGGCGUAAAGGGCGCGCAGGCGGUCUUGUCGGUCAGGUGUGAAAGCCCGGGGCUCAACCCUGGAAGUGCACUUGAAACAGCAAGACUUGAGUACGGGAGAGGAAAGCGGAAUUCCUGGUGUAGAGGUGAAAUUCGUAGAUAUCAGGAGGAACACCGAUGGCGAAGGCAGCUUUCUGGACCGAUACUGACGCUGAGGCGCGAAGGCGUGGGUAGCGAACGGGAUUAGAUACCCUAGUAGUC
rnacentral:rRNA from 1 species